rnacentral:rRNA from 1 species
GAUGAACGCUGGCGGCGUGCCUAAUACAUGCAAGUCGAGCGAACAGAUGAGGAGCUUGCUCCUCUGACGUUAGCGGCGGACGGGUGAGUAACACGUGGAUAACCUACCUAUAAGACUGGGAUAACUUCGGGAAACCGGAGCUAAUUCCGGAUAAUAUAUUGAACCGCAUGGUUCAAUAGUGAAAGACGGUUUUGCUGUCACUUAUAGAUGGAUCCGCGCCGCAUUAGCUAGUUGGUAAGGUAACGGCUUACCAAGGCGACGAUGCGUAGCCGACCUGAGAGGGUGAUCGGCCACACUGGAACUGAGACACGGUCCAGACUCCUACGGGAGGCAGCAGUAGGGAAUCUUCCGCAAUGGGCGAAAGCUUGACGGAGCAACGCCGCGUGAGUGAUGAAGGUCUUCGGAUCGUAAAACUCUGUUAUUAGGGAAGAACAAAUGUGUAAGUAACUAUGCACGUCUUGACGGUACCUAAUCAGAAAGCCACGGCUAACUACGUG